GCGCCCGUAGCUCAGGUGGAUAGAGCAGCGGUUUCCUAAACCGCGUGUCGGGAGUUCGAGUCUCUCCGGGCGCGCCA
rnacentral:tRNA from 2 species